UACGGCGGUCACAGCGAGGGGGGAAACGCCCGGGUCCCAUCCGAACCCCGGGAAAGCCUAAAGCCCCCUCAAGCCGCCGAUGGUACUGCACGGGAGACUGGUGUGGGAGAGUAGGGACACCGCCGAAC
rnacentral:rRNA from 1 species